rnacentral:misc_RNA from 1 species
AACGCACCUUGCGCCUCUUGGUAUUCCGAGAGGCAUGCCUGUUUGAGUGUCAUGAAAUCUCAAUCCCCCCGGGUUUAUGAUCUGGGCUGGGACUUGGACUUGGGCGUCUGCCGGUGAAACGGCUCGCCUCAAAUGACUUAGUGGAUCUCUCAGCAUCCGUGGCAGACGUAAUAAGUUUCGUCUCGUCCCUUGCAGAUGAGUCCGCUCACAACCCGCCAUCGCGCACUUUUAGACUCUGACCUCAAAUCAGGUAGGACUACCCGCUGAACUUAA